AUCAUUUUUAAGAUACAACUUUUUGAAAAAAUUGUGAUUUUGAUUAUGUUUUGAUCUUCAAUAAUGUAUAUUUAUGUUAUAGAAUGAAUAAUUCAAUCUUUUAAUUUAUAAAAAACAAAUUUAGAAAAACUUGUAAUAUUUUAAAAAACAUUUUUGUAUAAUCCAUUUUCAAAAAUAUAAAAAAAAAAAUCAUUUUUUUAAAGUUAAAACAAAU
rnacentral:lncRNA from 1 species